rnacentral:lncRNA from 1 species
UGAAAAAUAAAGCUUGCUUAGCUAUUCAGUUCUUUCAAAGUCAAGCUUAACUGCAACUAAGCAGCACCAUUCAAGAACUCAACUACCAUCAAGUGAAGUAAAAAGUUCCAAGUCAGAAGAACUUGAAGAGUUCUAAGUGAACUGAGAAGUACCAAGUCUGCUGGACUUGAAGAGUUCAAUAGUGAACUAAGAAAUUCUAAGACUUCUGGUCUUGAAGGAAU